AGCCUUAUUUUGGCUUGCUGUGAUUAUCGGCAUGACACUACUAAUUGCUGUCAAUAUCAGUGGUUCAAGUAUCUUCAAUCCUUGAGACGGUCUUUGACAAUCUUCACCUUGGUUCAGCUAAAGUAAUUCUUAAGUCUUGUGCUCUUACUUCCAUUGGAUAGUUCAACUGCUUUAUACUUCUUGUGUAUGUUCUCCACAAAGUUAAUUUUUUUUUAUCUUGCAGGUUGUGCAGAAGAUUUUUAAUCAGAUCUUUCUUUUAGCUACUAGUAUAGUUUAGUAUAUUCAUGAGUACUGCUGUGGAGCAAAGCAUCUACUGGCGGCGGGUGAUUCAUGGCUUCUUUUUGUGAGAGCUACAGAUUUUAAUUCAGCUUAAAUAUAAAUUUAUUGUUCGUAUAUAUGCAAAUACAACGAUAUUGUUUUUUACCAGGCAAUAAUAAAAUAGCAGGUUUUUUAACCAUUACAUUUGUCUGGGACUUCAUUUAUAACAUUUCCUAUACGUGAGAGCUACAGGUAUUUAAAGAUAAAAAAAAUACAAGACAGACAGAACGAUAGUAUCUAAUCUCACGUCCAUGCAUUUCUUACACAGUUUAAAAACGAUAGUUAAGAAACAACAUGUAAGAAAGAGACUCCUCUAUAAUCAGACAACAAUAAAAUUAAAGAAUGGUGAAGAGUUAAAAAUUCUAUUAAAUCAAACUCGACAUUGUGAUCGAUUUUUACAAGGUGAUCUAUACAAUGAUUUGUUUGAUUCAUAAGAAAUAACACUUCAAAUAAAAAAGAAGACAAAUGAAGAUUUUGAGUUUUCUGAGAGAUGAUCAUAUAAACCACAACAGAGAAACCUAAACUACUUAUCAUUCCCAAACUGGACUAGUGGAGUUGGAUUUCUUGAAAAAAUUAGUAGGAGGCAUCCAUUUAACAUUUAUUAUAUGUUACCUUUGCAAUGAAUGAAGAAAAAUAUAACAAAAUGUUGGUACCUCAAAGAUUACUUAAAAAAUGCUCAUGAUUUUGAGAAAAAAUGUUGGUUUGCAACAACACAUGAAUUUAGAGACUUAAUUAAACGGUGGUUACUUAUUCAUGGACCAAAUUACUUAUUCAUUAAAAGUUUAAUCAAUUUUAAGUUUGGAAAUAUCAAUCGAAACAUGCAUGAAGUGUAUGGAGCUUUUUGUCUUUUCCUGUUUAAAGAUCGAGUAAGAGAUGAUGAAAAUGUCUAUAACACAUGAAUAAAGAUAGAGUGUAUGCAUUAUUCCUACUUUUCUCAGCAAAAAAAAAAAGAUAUUGACAAGUUGAUAUUUAUAUUUUGAAUCUUUGAUGAAGCUCUACUCUAAACAGUAGAUAAAUAAUACACUAAUAACGAAAAUCUAGUCUUUCAUCUCAAGUUCUUCCUAAGACAUGCUAGAGAUAUUAUACAAGUGCCUAUCUAUAUCAGGAAUAAAGCCAUUCUCCAACAUUUCCAAUCUUACUAUAUCAUAUGUAUUACGGUUUGGAUUCAAACCCUUUUCCAACAUCUCAUUAAGAAUAUUAUUUGCAGCCUCUAGCUUGUCAAUUUUACAAUACCCUUUAAUCAAAACAUUAUAAGUAACAACAUUCGGCUGCUUUCGUUCUUUCUCCAUUCUCGCCCUCACGUUCAACGCUGCCUUAAGAUUCUUUGAUAUAGAUGCUUCAGAUGACGAGUUGUCUGAUACAGAAGAAGCAAAUGUCACUGAUCAAAAGGGUGUAAGAGAUUCUAUGUACCAAACAGAUAAAGAAUCAUUUAUGGAUGUUUUGGCUGCAAUAAUUGUUAGCGAAGAAUUUCAAGGGAUAUUAACAUCUGAAGCUGGGUUUACCAAAGGUUCGGAAAAUGGCUCAAAUACAACAUCUAAAGUAUCAAAAUCUCCUGUUGCCAAUGCAGAAUCAACUCCUUCUGGUUCUGAUAAAUCUGAAGGUUCUGGAGGUACCAUACUUUUAUAAUCUCUAAUAUAACCUUGUCUAACAUGGAUAUGUAUUAUGUGAAUGUUUUUAAGAUUCAUAAAGCUUCUCGUAUUCACGACGAAAAUAAAAACUUUGAAAUGCAGAGUCAGCCUUAUUUUGGCUUGCUGUGAUUAUCGGCAUGACACUACUAAUUGCUGUCAAUAUCAGUGGUUCAAGUAUCUUCAAUCCUUGAGACGGUCUUUGACAAUCUUCACCUUGGUUCAGCUAAAGUAAUUCUUAAGUCUUGUGCUCUUACUUCCAUUGGAUAGUUCAACUGCUUUAUACUUCUUGUGUAUGUUCUCCACAAAGUUAAUUUUUUUUUAUCUUGCAGGUUGUGCAGAAGAUUUUUAAUCAGAUCUUUCUUUUAGCUACUAGUAUAGUUUAGUAUAUUCAUGAGUACUGCUGUGGAGCAAAGCAUCUACUGGCGGCGGGUGAUUCAUGGCUUCUUUUUGUGAGAGCUACAGAUUUUAAUUCAGCUUAAAUAUAAAUUUAUUGUUCGUAUAUAUGCAAAUACAACGAUAUUGUUUUUUACCAGGCAAUAAUAAAAUAGCAGGUUUUUUAACCAUUACAUUUGUCUGGG
rnacentral:lncRNA from 1 species